rnacentral:lncRNA from 1 species
CCCCAAGGGGGGCACAAAUACAGCACAGCCCUCGAUCUGAGAUCUGCCUGAGUGACUGAGGGAGGUCUCUCUGCGACUGUUGGAGGCGGGAAAAACCAGGCAGGGACAUGGUUUCUGCAUCUAGACGCAGCCUGAUUCCCACCAGGAGCUCAGGACUAGACCCUGCGUCCCAGCAUCUACUCGACUCCAUCUUAAGAGUUUCGGCGUGUUGCUGGCUCCAGAACCCAACUUUUUGAUGUACUUAGAAUUUUUUGGCUUUGUGCUUGCAAAGGAGUUCAGCCACUUUCUCUUUCUGAUCUUGUUAGUGUGCUUGUCUCGUUUGCAUUUGUGGGUUCUAAUAGCGCCAUCAAAAUGAAUUGGGCAGGAGAGGAACCCUGGGAUAUUCUGCCGCGCCGCAGCCGCAGCCGCAGCCGCAGCUGCACAGGAAAAGAAGUGGAAACAAGUCUGCAGAAAAUACUGCCUGGUUUUGUCAUCGCCUGGCUUAAAAUGUCCCCCCAGCACUGAAUCCAAAUUACUUGGCCAGACUCUCAGGAUCCUAAGGAAUCGGCCAUCCAUAAAUCAGCACCCGGUGUGAAACUUAGAGCUAGCAAGAAUACCAGAGAAGGAUACCGUUGUGGGGGCUGAGGAUGUAGCUCUAGUGUGAGGUUUGGUCUGCUGCUAUGUAUUGUAAUGCUGAACACUGGCCCCCACCAAGCUCAGUUGCCUCAAGGAUCAGAGAAUCUUCCUGCUGACUCAGGUGACACUGUGUGACCUGCCCCCCAAGUUAUCCCUGAUUGGUACCCUGGCUGUAUCAGAGCAGAGUAAGCAGAAGAUGGAGAACUCGGCUCCUCCAGCACCACGCCUGCCUAGAUGCUGCCUGGAUGCUGCCUGGAUGCUGCCCUGCUCCCGCCUUGAUGAUAAUGGACUGACCCUCUGAACCUGGCAGGUGUGAAACCCAGUCUGUGAACAACCCUUGAGGUCCUCAUCUUGGCUUUGCUGGCAUCCAGCUCUUGCAGCUGCUCAUCCAGUUCCAUGAACAUCUCACGCUCCAGAUCCUCCCGACCUAACUAAGCGCUCUGCCCCCUCUCCAGAUGAGUCAUCUUCAAAGACUGUGAUCCAUAUUGGCUGUUCCUGAAAAACUCUUUGGCUGAGUGCUUUCCACAUAGCUCAGGUUGGUCUCAAAGUCAUGGCUAUCCUCCUGCCUCAGAUCCUCCAGUGACUGGAUUACAGGCAUGUGCCACAUGGCACAACUUGGCCUGUUGUUUUGUUUUGUUUUGUUUUUGGUACUGGGGAUUGAACCCAGACCUUUUUUGCACAUGCUAGCCAAGCAAUCUAUUCUUUUCUUUUUUAUGGAUGUGUGUGGUUACCUACGUAAGGAUGUGUGUGCAGGAGCGACAGAGGUCAGAAGAGAGCACCACAUCCCCUGGAACUGGAGUUACAGGCAGAUGCAAGCUGCCAUCUUGGUGCUGGAAAUAAAUAUGCAACUUCUAUAAGAGCAGUACGUACUCUUAAUGGCUGAGCUCUCUUGAGUCCCCUGCUUGGAUUUUUUAAAAACUAAUUUUAUUAGAGAAUACAUUACUUCCUUUCAGACCUAUGAGGAUAUGCCUUUUGCAAAGCAUUUCCUUUAUCCCUCUCCAGAAGAGAAAAGGAAACAGAAGUGGGGGCUGAUACAGAACUCCAACUCCUAUUAAUGGAUGCAAAGUACCCAGGAUGUCAUAAAAUGAGCCCAGUCUUCGGCCAUAAACAAAAGGCAGUCUUGUGUGUUGGCUGCUGCAUUGCCCUGUCAGCCUACAGAAGGAAAAGGAAGGCUGGCCGUUCCGCAGGACACAGCACUAAAAGCACCCUGGUUCAAGAUGAGUGGGAAGCCAUCCCAGUAAACACAUCAUGAAUUUAAAACAAAACAGCAUUACUUCAAAUGAGAUAAUUUUUAAAUAUAUAUUUUGAUGAAUUUGAGAGGUUUGUGGAGGUGGUGAUUUGGUUUUAAUUUUGAUAUGGAGCCUGAGUGUCAGAACAUCAACCUAAAAACAAGGGCAAGGUCCUUUACACUGAACCUAAAAACAAGGGCAGGUUCCUUUCUAUAGGCCGCAAUACACUCCAACUAAAGGAUCAUGAAAGAUCAAAUGACUUCUGUGUGUGUGUGUGUGUGUGUGUGUGUGUGUGUGUGUGUGUGUGUGUGUGUGUAGGUGUGGUGUUAGGAAUAGAACUCUGGACUCACGCAUGUUAGACAAGUGUUCUACAUGAUCACCCUCCUCUCCGCCUUCCUCACUACCAGUACUGCAGCUUUGUGUUGAAAGAAAUGGGUUUUACCAGCCUCCAACAGUUGGACAUGACCACUGACAUGUCAGUGAAAGUUGCUGGAUGGUCCUUCUUGGACAGGCUUUCUACCAUGUGUCGUGUACAUUAAUAUGGUGAAUUGAUGAGGUGGCAGGAAUGAAAACGCCCUCCACAGGUUCAUAUGUUUCAAUGCUUGCUCUGCCCUUUGGGAAAAAUUAGGAGGUAUGGCCUUGUUGGAAGAGGUGUGUCACUGGGGCAGACUGACUUUGUGGUCCAAAAGACUUGAGUGGUCCUUAGUGUGGUUUCUGCCUCUGGUUUCUGUUUAAAGAUGUGACUCGCCUGGUGUUCCUACUCUGACAUCACGAACUUCUGCAUCAGGAAACCCCUGAAAUCAGAAAUCCCAAAUAAAUGAUUUCUCCUUUUUUAAAA